AUUGAACGCUGGCGGCAGGCCUAACACAUGCAAGUCGAGCGAGCGGCGGACGGGUGAGUACUGUAUGGGGACUGCCCGAUAGAGGGGGAUAACUACUGGAAACGGUAGCUAAUACCGCAUUCUAUCGGAUCACCUAUAUGGGAUUAGCUAGUAGGUGAGGUACUGGAUCACCUAGGCGACGAUCCCUAGCUGGUCUGAGAGGAUGAUCAGACACACUGGGACUGAGACACGGCCCAGACUCCUACGGAGGCAGCAGUGGGGAAUAUCGCACAAUGGGCGCAAGCCUGAUACAGCCAUGCCGCGUGUAUGAAGAAGGCCCUAGGGUUGUAAAGUACUUUCAGUCGGGAGGCGUUACCGACAGAAGAAGCACCGGCUAACUCCGGGCCAGCAGCCGCGGUAAUAC
rnacentral:rRNA from 1 species